UACGAAGGGGGCUAGCGUUGCUCGGAUUGACUGGGCGUAAAGGGCGCGUAGGCGGUUCGUACAGUCAGACGUGAAAUUCCUGGGCUCAACCUGGGGGCUGCGUUUGAUACGUGCGGACUUGAGUGCGGAAGAGGGUCGUGGAAUUCCCAGUGUAGAGGUGAAAUUCGUAGAUAUUGGGAAGAACACCGGUGGCGAAGGCGGCGACCUGAUCCGAUACUGACGCUGAGGAGCGAAAGCAUGGGUAGCGAACAGG
rnacentral:rRNA from 1 species